GGAAGAAAUGGAUAGAAAAGAUUUUUUUUUAAAGUAAUAAUUAUGAGAGGAAAAAGGGGGGAUUAUUUUGAAAGGAGAAGGAAGAGGUUAAAAAGAUUGAAAAACACAGUUAAUAAAAUCUUAGAGGUAAAUGAGUUGAUAGACGUAGGAUAUAAGAAUAAAAUCUGAGGAAUUAUGUUGAUAUGUUCUGCUAUACCUGCUAUAGGAUUUAGGGAAGAAAGAGGAAAAGGAAUACAUUAAAGGAAACGCUAGAUAGUAGUAUACCAUAUGAACAUCAGCUUAUAGGAUAAAGGAUUACAUAGGUGUAGUAUUGUAUGUACAUGCACACACCGGGCGACUUCCUCACGCAAGAUGAGGCGUCCAAUAUGGCACCUUCCUCACCAAGCACCACACUGUCAGAAGAAGGCCCAGGCAUAGGACUUAGUGGGCCUGCCACGCCGGCACCGGACUGGUAUGCUCUGUUCGCGUCCCUACCCAAAAAGGAAGACUUCCAUUCCCUCCUAAAGGAGGUUAAAACCACUCUGCGCACAGAAAUUUCAGCCCUUGGUACUUCCCUUACAGCACUGGAGACCAGAGUGCAGGCCCUGGAAUCCCAGAACCCUGACCUGCACUGCCCCGCAGUCACAACUACGAAAGCACACGCCAGAUACAAGACCUGCACCUCCACGUUGAGGAUCUGGACAAUCGCAGCCGCAGACACAACAUCCGGGUAAGAGGCUGCAGGGAAACAGACACCCCAGAAGACACGAGGGCCAUCCUGAUACCGCUCUUCUACCGCAAUCUGGGCCGGCCCAGGGACGCCCGCAUCCCCAUAGAUAGAGCCCACAGGGCACUGAGGCCUAAGCCACCUCCGGGCGCCCCUCCCAGGGACAUAAUCUGUCACAUACCAGACUUCCAACUCAAGGAGGACAUAAUGAGGAAAGCCCGGGUAAAAAGAACCUGGAGACAUGAGGGGCAGACUAUCGAACUGUAUAAUAACCUCUCCCACUUCACCCUGCAGGCCCAAAGAGCGCUGCGGCCCUUAACCGCCGCCAUGCAGGAGGCCCAAAUUCGCUACUGAUGGCAAUUUCUGUUCGCCCUUAUAGCCCGCCGGGGCAACACAGAAGCCACAAUCUGGACACCUCAAGACGUCCAGGCCUUCCAAGAGGCCCUCGACCUCCCACAAACCCAUAUCAUGGACUGGACCAAUUGCCUGCUAAAUGAACGCCUCAUAGGAAGACCUACCCGCCGCAACAUACAGCAGGGACCGGACACCGACUUUGCCCCUCUUCAGCAAGCGGAACCUAAGGAAUAGAAUGGGUACUGCCCAUCUACCUCCCCACAACACACGGCAUCUAGCUCCGGCCCAGACACCGUAGGGUCCAACCUGCCGGAGAAACAGCAG